rnacentral:rRNA from 1 species
CAGACGGGUGAGUAACGCGUGGUCAACCUACCGUUGAGUGGGGGAUAACUAGCCGAAAGGUUAGCUAAUACCGCAUACGUCUCCGAGGGGCAUCCCUUGGCGAUAAAAGGAGCAAUCCGCUCGAUGACGGGACCGCGUCCCAUUAGCUAGAUGGUGGGGUAACGGCCUACCAUGGUACCGAUGGGUAGCUGGUUUGAGAGAGCGACCAGCCACACUGGGACUGAGAAACGGCCCAG